AUUAAAAUACUCCUUAUUCACAAAAUCUUUUUCAUUUUCAGACGCAUUGAAUAAUGUUUAUUUUUUCGGAUCUUAAGUCAUUCACCCUUAUUCGUUUAGUCAUUGUCAGAUUAUUUAGCAGGACUCUGAGGUAGCACGAGUGCAUGCCGUAGUUGGAGACCAACGAGUAUCAAACAAGAUUUACUAUUCAAUAACAUAUAGCAGUUGUGGUGAUGGACUUUUUAUCAUAAACAACGUUACCGGUGUUAUAUAUACAUUAGUAGAUAUUGGCAAGAAUAGCGCAACAGUCAGACAAAACUUCAGAUAUUGUACUGUAACUGUGGAAGCAAAUGAAAUGCAAAGUGUCAACGGGCCCCAGUACGGCAACACAACUGCUUCUACGAAUGUCACCAUCAUACUGCAAGAUUUUCAUUCCCCUCCCGCCAACAACUGGAAAUGAUGCAACUACACUACAACCAACAAAACAAACUCUACCAGGACUAAACUAUACCGGUCUCGAUGUUUUGCUGUCAGAUCUAACUUGAAGAUAAUUAUUUGUACUUCUUGUCAAACAAUUAAUGAUUUAUCUAGUAUUGCAAUGUGCAUCUA